UCCCUGGUGGUACAGAGGUUAGGACUUGGUGCUUUCACUGCCAAGGGCCUAGGUUCGAUCCCUGGUUGGGGAC
rnacentral:tRNA from 1 species